ACCUGUGUCCUGGUUGAGGGUCUCCAGGGUUCUUUGGGGCCCGAGAGGUGACAUUGUGAUUGCAAAAAGCCCAAGUGAUCCAAAAUCAAAUAUUUGUAAAAGAGUAAUUGGUUUGGAAGGAGACAAAAUCCUCACCACUAGUCCAUCAGAUUUCUUUAAAAGCCAUAGUUAUGUAUUUGGAAACUAAGCAGUUCCUAUUAAGAUGCUGUUGCUGGCCGGCCGCGGUGGCUCACACCUGUAAUCCCAGCACUUUGAGAGGCCAAGGCAGGCAGAUCACCUGAGGUCAAGAGUUUGAGACCAGCCUGCCCAGCAUGGUGAAACCCUGUCUCUGCUAAAAAUACAAAAAAUUAGCCAGGCGUGGUGGCAGGCGCCUGUCAUCUCAGCUACUUGGGAGGCUGAGGCAGGAGAAUCGCUUCAACCCGGGAGGCGGAGGUUGCAGUGAGCCGAGAUCGCGCCACUGCACUGCAGCCUGGGCAACAAGAGCGAAACUCCAUCUCAAGAAAAGAAAAGAAAAAAAAAAGAUGCUGUUUGCUUUCCUUAUUUUGAAGGUACUGAAGCCAAUAAUUCUUUCCUGGGGUUAUGUAUGAACUGAGCAUUGGCUACUGUAAAGAUAUGAGAUUAAUUUGUGACUCUCAAAAGAAACAAAUUGUCAUAAGCUCAGACAUCUUGAGUAUGUUGCCUUUCUGUAUAUUCUACAGGAAUUCCUCAGUUUGCUGCUUGAAGCCACUGCUUUAUCAGAAAAAAUAAUUUAGUUGGAAGUAGGAGCAUGUAGCAAAUAAGAAAUAAAUAAAAUGAGUUGGCAUUCUCCUAUUGGUUUGCACAGCAGGCAAAAUGCAAAGUAAACCUCUAUUUAAUUCCCUUAGGGAAUGUAGGGCCAGGGCUCAGAAAUACACUAAAAUUUUGUUAUAAAGCCAAUUAAAAGAAGAAGAAAAGCACUCAUAAUGUUUAUUAGUAUAAUAUUGUGUGAUAAUCCAGGACUAUGCUUUUAAGCCAUGGGAUAACUAUGAAAUAGGAAUUUUGAAAUAUGGUAAAUUCCUAUCAACAAACAUGUUGUAAAAUCUGCAUCUA
rnacentral:sRNA from 1 species